GUGGGGAAUAUUGGACAAUGGGCGAAAGCCUGAUCCAGCCAUGCCGCGUGUGUGAAGAAGGUCUUCGGAUUGUAAAGCACUUUAAGUUGGGAGGAAGGGCAUUAACCUAAUACGUUAGUGUUUUGACGUUACCGACAGAAUAAGCACCGGCUAACUUCGUGCCAGCAGCCGCGGUAAUACGAAGGGUGCAAGCGUUAAUCGGAAUUACUGGGCGUAAAGCGCGCGUAGGUGGUUCGUUAAGUUGGAUGUGAAAGCCCCGGGCUCAACCUGGGAACUGCAUCCAAAACUGGCGAGCUAGAGUACGGUAGAGGGUGGUGGAAUUUCCUGUGUAGCGGUGAAAUGCGUAGAUAUAGGAAGGAACACCAGUGGCGAAGGCGACCACCUGGACUGAUACUGACACUGAGGUGCGAAAGCGUGGGGAGCAAACAGGAUUAGAAACCCGUGUAGUCC
rnacentral:rRNA from 1 species